UACGUAGGGGGCAAGCGUUGUCCGGAUUUAUUGGGCGUAAAGAGCGUGUAGGCGGCCAGGUAGGUCUGGUGUGAAAACUUGAGGCUCAACCUCAAGCUGUCACUGGAUACUGUCGGGCUUGAGUCCGGAAGAGGAGAGUGGAAUUCCUGGUGUAGCGGUGGAAUGCGCAGAUAUCAGGAGGAACACCAAUGGCGAAGGCAGCUCUCUGGUACGUGACUGACGCUGAGACGCGAAAGCGUGGGUAGCAAACAGG
rnacentral:rRNA from 1 species